rnacentral:rRNA from 1 species
UACAGAGGGUGCAAGCGUUGUUCGGAAUUACUGGGCGUAAAGGGCGUGUAGGCGGCGUGGCAGGUCGGUUGUGAAAUCUCGGGGCUCAACCCCGAAACUGCAUUCGAAACCGCAAGGCUUGAGUCCUGGAGAGGAGAGUGGAAUUCACGGUGUAGCGGUGAAAUGCGUAGAUAUCGGGAGGAACACCAGUGGCGAAGGCGGCUCUCUGGACAGGUACUGACGCUGAGACGCGAAAGCGUGGGGAGCAAACAGG